rnacentral:rRNA from 1 species
GGGUUGUGAGGUUAAGCGACUAAGCGUACACGGUGGAUGCCCUGGCAGUCAGAGGCGAUGAAGGACGUGCUAAUCUGCGAUAAGCGUCGGUAAGGUGAUAUGAACCGUUAUAACCGGCGAUUUCCGAAUGGGGAAACCCAGUGUGUUUCGACACACUAUCAUUAACUGAAUCCAUAGGUUAAUGAGGCGAACCGGGGGAACUGAAACAUCUAAGUACCCCGAGGAAAAGAAAUCAACCGAGAUUCCCCCAGUAGCGGCGAGCGAACGGGGAGCAGCCCAGAGCCUGAAUCAGUGUGUGUGUUAGUGGAAGCGUCUGGAAAGGCGCGCGAUACAGGGUGACAGCCCCGUACACAAAAAUGCACAUGCUGUGAGCUCGAUGAGUAGGGCGGGACACGUGGUAUCCUGUCUGAAUAUGGGGGGACCAUCCUCCAAGGCUAAAUACUCCUGACUGACCGAUAGUGAACCAGUACCGUGAGGGAAAGGCGAAAAGAACCCCGGCGAGGGGAGUGAAAAAGAACCUGAAACCGUGUACGUACAAGCAGUGGGAGCACGCUUAGGCGUGUGACUGCGUACCUUUUGUAUAAUGGGUCAGCGACUUAUAUUCUGUAGCAAGGUUAACCGAAUAGGGGAGCCGAAGGGAAACCGAGUCUUAACUGGGCGUUAAGUUGCAGGGUAUAGACCCGAAACCCGGUGAUCUAGCCAUGGGCAGGUUGAAGGUUGGGUAACACUAACUGGAGGACCGAACCGACUAAUGUUGAAAAAUUAGCGGAUGACUUGUGGCUGGGGGUGAAAGGCCAAUCAAACCGGGAGAUAGCUGGUUCUCCCCGAAAGCUAUUUAGGUAGCGCCUCGUGAAUUCAUCUCCGGGGGUAGAGCACUGUUUCGGCAAGGGGGUCAUCCCGACUUACCAACCCGAUGCAAACUGCGAAUACCGGAGAAUGUUAUCACGGGAGACACACGGCGGGUGCUAACGUCCGUCGUGAAGAGGGAAACAACCCAGACCGCCAGCUAAGGUCCCAAAGUCAUGGUUAAGUGGGAAACGAUGUGGGAAGGCCCAGACAGCCAGGAUGUUGGCUUAGAAGCAGCCAUCAUUUAAAGAAAGCGUAAUAGCUCACUGGUCGAGUCGGCCUGCGCGGAAGAUGUAACGGGGCUAAACCAUGCACCGAAGCUGCGGCAGCGACGCUUAUGCGUUGUUGGGUAGGGGAGCGUUCUGUAAGCCUGCGAAGGUGUGCUGUGAGGCAUGCUGGAGGUAUCAGAAGUGCGAAUGCUGACAUAAGUAACGAUAAAGCGGGUGAAAAGCCCGCUCGCCGGAAGACCAAGGGUUCCUGUCCAACGUUAAUCGGGGCAGGGUGAGUCGACCCCUAAGGCGAGGCCGAAAGGCGUAGUCGAUGGGAAACAGGUUAAUAUUCCUGUACUUGGUGUUACUGCGAAGGGGGGACGGAGAAGGCUAUGUUGGCCGGGCGACGGUUGUCCCGGUUUAAGCGUGUAGGCUGGUUUUCCAGGCAAAUCCGGAAAAUCAAGGCUGAGGCGUGAUGACGAGGCACUACGGUGCUGAAGCAACAAAUGCCCUGCUUCCAGGAAAAGCCUCUAAGCAUCAGGUAACAUCAAAUCGUACCCCAAACCGACACAGGUGGUCAGGUAGAGAAUACCAAGGCGCUUGAGAGAACUCGGGUGAAGGAACUAGGCAAAAUGGUGCCGUAACUUCGGGAGAAGGCACGCUGAUAUGUAGGUGAAGUCCCUCGCGGAUGGAGCUGAAAUCAGUCGAAGAUACCAGCUGGCUGCAACUGUUUAUUAAAAACACAGCACUGUGCAAACACGAAAGUGGACGUAUACGGUGUGACGCCUGCCCGGUGCCGGAAGGUUAAUUGAUGGGGUUAGCGCAAGCGAAGCUCUUGAUCGAAGCCCCGGUAAACGGCGGCCGUAACUAUAACGGUCCUAAGGUAGCGAAAUUCCUUGUCGGGUAAGUUCCGACCUGCACGAAUGGCGUAAUGAUGGCCAGGCUGUCUCCACCCGAGACUCAGUGAAAUUGAACUCGCUGUGAAGAUGCAGUGUACCCGCGGCAAGACGGAAAGACCCCGUGAACCUUUACUAUAGCUUGACACUGAACAUUGAGCCUUGAUGUGUAGGAUAGGUGGGAGGCUUUGAAGUGUGGACGCCAGUCUGCAUGGAGCCGACCUUGAAAUACCACCCUUUAAUGUUUGAUGUUCUAACGUUGACCCGUGAUCCGGGUUGCGGACAGUGUCUGGUGGGUAGUUUGACUGGGGCGGUCUCCUCCUAAAGAGUAACGGAGGAGCACGAAGGUUGGCUAAUCCUGGUCGGACAUCAGGAGGUUAGUGCAAUGGCAUAAGCCAGCUUGACUGCGAGCGUGACGGCGCGAGCAGGUGCGAAAGCAGGUCAUAGUGAUCCGGUGGUUCUGAAUGGAAGGGCCAUCGCUCAACGGAUAAAAGGUACUCCGGGGAUAACAGGCUGAUACCGCCCAAGAGUUCAUAUCGACGGCGGUGUUUGGCACCUCGAUGUCGGCUCAUCACAUCCUGGGGCUGAAGUAGGUCCCAAGGGUAUGGCUGUUCGCCAUUUAAAGUGGUACGCGAGCUGGGUUUAGAACGUCGUGAGACAGUUCGGUCCCUAUCUGCCGUGGGCGCUGGAGAACUGAGGGGGGCUGCUCCUAGUACGAGAGGACCGGAGUGGACGCAUCACUGGUGUUCGGGUUGUCAUGCCAAUGGCACUGCCCGGUAGCUAAAUGCGGAAGAGAUAAGUGCUGAAAGCAUCUAAGCACGAAACUUGCCCCGAGAUGAGUUCUCCCUGACUCCUUGAGAGUCCUGAAGGAACGUUGAAGACGACGACGUUGAUAGGCCGGGUGUGUAAGCGCAGCGAUGCGUUGAGCUAACCGGUACUAAUGAACCGUGAGGCUUAACCUUACAACGCCGAAGCUGUU